rnacentral:rRNA from 1 species
CCCUUAGAUGUUCUGGGCCGCACGCGCGCUACACUGACUGGUUCAUCGAGUAUACAACCUUGACUGAUAGGUCUGGGUAAUCUUCUCAAAGCCAGUCGUGCUGGGGAUAGAUUAUUGUAAUUUUUAAUCUUCAACGAGGAAUUCCUAGUAAACGCGAGUCAUCAACUCGCAUUGAUUACGUCCCUGCCCUUUGUACACACCGCCCGUCGCUACUACCGAUUGAAUGGCUUAGUGAGGGCCUCGGAUUGGUCUCGGCCCGCUCUUUACCGGGCGGCGCCGUUGGUCGAGAAGACGCUCGAACUUGAUCGUUUAGAGGAAGUAAAAGUCGUAACA